GCCACUCCAUGUGCUCCAGGCACACAUCCACUGCCUUGGCAGCACCAGCAAUCCAGCCUGUUGGAUCCAGAGGACAAAUUUAAGUGGAACUCAGACAUCUGGCAACCACCAUCCCCAGGACCUCCCUAUGAGCCUCCUGACCUGCACACAGUGGCCAACGUGUAUCCGACGUGUUUCUAAGACCUUUUCCAAGUGUGUCACCAACCUUGAUGCCCAGCUCGAUGUUCUCCCCUCCGUACACGUCCAUGCCGGGAUCCAGGAGCCCGAUCUCCCCGAAGAACUUCCUGUUCACCACGAAGGAGCAGCCGAUCAUGGCCGGUGUCCUGCACGGAGAGAAACCCCCGGGAA